rnacentral:misc_RNA from 1 species
GGUUCUCUGCCCUGUAGAUUAGUGCAUG